GGCGUGCUGCCGGAAUGGGGCCGCAUCUCUGCCUGCGGGGCUUCGCCUCGGAGACACCUUACAGCACCUUCCAGCGCCUAAAGCGGGGAUACAACGGGGGAGCUGGAGAGGGCGUGUAGUAAGGGCAAGGGGUAAUGGCUUUAAACUGAAAGAAGGGGGAUUUGGAUGAAAUAUUAGGAAGAAAUUCGUUACUGUGAGGGUGGUGAGACACUGGAACAGGUGGCCCAGAGAAGCUGUAGAUGCCCCAUCCCUGGAAGUUUUGGGUGGAGCUCUGAGCAAACUAGUCUGAGUAGAAGAUUUACAUGGCAGGGGGCUUGGAUGUAGGUGAUCUUUAAGAUCCCUUCCAAACCAAACAAUUUUGUGACUCUAUGGUUAUAUGAUUCUGUGACUAGAGAAGGGCAGUGAAACACAAUAGCAGUGACAGUGGGACCCUUGGAAAACGUGCCUUUUCAAAUUCUUUUCUCCUCUGGGUUUUUGUACACACAGCAGAGCAUGUGUCUUCUAGUGAUACGAAUGAAAAAAAAAAUCUACCUGACAAAACCUCACCUUUAAUGUGGAACUUAAAGUUUUAUUUCUUGUUUCAUCAGACAGAAAAUUAAAUAUUUUUUGAACUGUGUUACUGAAUUGGUGAAAUGUGCUCAAAAUUGUACUGCAGGCUCUCUUACAAAAAUGAUUGGAAUAAUUUUGAAAGGCCUCAGCUUGGGUCUCUGAAGCAUCUCCCCCCAGCAUUUCUCACUCAUCUCCCAUACUGGGGGUCUGCUGGUUGCAGCAGAAAAGACACAAACUCUUGGGUUUAUUUGAGGUUCUAUGAUGACCAUCAAAACCAAAGAGAAUGGAGUGCUGCUUGCCUUGGGUUAGUUCCCACAAUUUGACUGUGCCAGUGUGGUCACAGGAGCUGUUGGUGCCAUAGAGAGGGCUCCUGCUGCCCAGGCACGCCACCACCAUGCAAGUCAAUGAGCUGCUGUGCUGGUGAGUGCUGAGCUCUCAUCACCCACUAGUCCAGAGAGCAGGGUCAGGCAUUUCAGGACACAAGGGCUUCUUCUGUUUUUUUUUUCCUAUCCCUGGAAUGUUUCUUUCCACAUUUGUAUGAGGUGGAGGAAAAAAUCAAAUGGCAGCAUUACACACUCCAAGAUCCCAGGGUAUCUUAAGAUCAUGCACUAGAAAUGUAAGAAGUGACUUUACACUGCCCAUCUCUCCAAUUUGGUAUCCAUUUUAUCAUCCAACUUAGUAAUUCUCUUGAGCAAAUCAUCUAUUAGCAAGAAGAAAUAUAUGGGUUUUUUUCUAGUUUGAGAUCCUUCAACUUGGACUAAGUUGUGCAAACAUGUACCAAGAACAGAUUCAACACAAUUAGAUACUUUUAAAGUUAAAGUAAUUUCUCUUAGUCUGUAAUGAAUAGAGAACAACUUUAAAUAUUCUACACUCAAGAGGAAUUUAGUCCUUAGUGAAGCAAAAAGUCUCAGCACACAAAGCCUUGGUUUAUGCCUUUAUACAGAGGUGGAUACUCCCACUGGCAGCAGUUUUCCAGUGUAGCUCUGGUAGAUGAGAGCAGAGGAAGCAUUCAGCAGCCCUUUUCAGCUCAUCUUCCAUUCUGAACUGUUCUCUCCAGGUGGUCCCACCAAACCACAAUCCUUCCUUUUUCAAAGUUCUAUUAUCUGAUGGGUGGAUCUGGUAAAGGGAAUAUGUUCUCCACUUAGAAUGGAAAACAAUUUUCAUUGCUUAUGUCUUAAGUGAUAUUUAUUUAUAGGGUAGGGACAACUCAUCCAAUUGAUUAAUUGUGAAAAUCUGCAACCUUAUUUUAGUUUUUUUAAAUCUUUUAAGACAUUCUCAUUCCUUUUUUUUUUUUGUCUCACACAUAGAGACAACAAAAAAAUGAGUGCUUUUAUUUGAAAAACCUAGAGCAAAACCAAAUGCAAGUUGCUUGGAAAACCAUUCUUCUUAGUUUAAAAUAUUUAAAAUUAGUAUUGAAAAGUGAUAUUUAAAAAAAAAAAAAGUUACCAUAUUUUUAAAUUUAAGGACAUUAGGAAAAUUGGUUUUCAAAACAUAUUAAGAAGUUGAGGUGAAUCCUAAAGGGAAAUCUAUAAUGUUAGUAGUAGAGCUUAUUGAGCUUAUACACUUUUUCUGACAUUAUUUACCUUUUUCUCCUCCUGGCCUGAGGCUUCUGGAAAGGCUGAAGGCAGCUGAUUUCAGAUAAUUUCUGUGUGCAUAGAGGGAAGUCUUAAUUACUGGAUUAAACUGCUCAAAGCACUAAAAUAAUCUUCAGCACUGAGGAAGCUGAAAUAUUAUAUACAGAUUUAGAGUUCUAGAUUUCUGUCAUGUCAUGACCAUUUUGAGAUUUUGGCUCAAAAAUUGUAGGAGUCAUCUCUCUACUACACAAAAUCUACUUUUCUCUUUUAUUUGAACAACCUUGUCUUACAGAAGAGUGCCGAACACCAGCUUCAUGGAAGCAUCUGUUUGGAACUGGAUAGAAUACUUCUAGAACUGAAUGUUGAAACCUCAUCCUACCUGAAAUAUCACUGGCUGCCUCAUACAUAUCUCAUGCCAUCCUGCCUCUGUAUCAAUAAGGAAAAACCUCAACUCCUCCUGCCAGAAAACCUAGCAUGGGAGAAAUAACAGCUAGGCUGAAUUGGAAAGGCUAGAACGCUGUCCUGUGGUGGGUGGGCUCUUCAUCCUUCUGAAGUUAUAGUGUUUUUAUUUAAAACCUGAAUUGGAUUUCUAGGCAUGUAUGGUACAUGCCAAUUUAAAAUUAUUGAAGUUCUUCAUAGUGUUAAGAGUGCUUCAGUUUGAAAGAGUGAGGCUUUCCUGUAAAUGCCAAGUAAAUUGCCCUGCAAGUCCAGAAUCUUUGAAUUGAAGUGCAUACGAAAGAUGUUGCCGUGUUCUAAUAAUUUUACAGCUCUCUCUGAUUCAUAUGCCUAGAACCCCAAUCAUUUCCAAAUUGAAGAGCUCUUAUUAUUUUGAAGUCCUAUGUGCAGUAUAAAAUGAUUUAAGAUUAUUCUGCAGCUUUUCAUUUGUAUUUUGUAAAAAUGAAACUUUUUUUCUUCUUUUUUAAAGACCAGCUCUUUCCUCUGCAAGCUGGGAGACAUUAUGAGCUAAUUCAAACAUUUCAUGUUUAAAAUGGAAAUUGAACCAAAUUCUCUAAAUAGCAGUGAUGAUGGCUGGGAGAAAAAGAAGGAAAAAAAUAUCCCUGUCUGAAAAGCCGAGAAAAUACAAAAGUAUUGUUUCUUUUUGGACAUCAUGCCUCUUUUAGAGUUAAAACUCUCGCUUUCAAGUAAUAGUGACUGGGAAGUGCUUUCAAAAUCCUGAGGUACUUCUGUUUUCUGUAACCCUGUCAUCCUGAAGAAAGGUGAAGUGGGUGAAUAUCAGACAGCUCAUUAUAGAGACAUGCAUGCUGCUUUCCCAAAGUAGGAUGACAGAACAAGUCAUGGUGGAUAGGAGUCAUGGAUGUUAAAGGAGAAAUUAACCAGGCUGUUGUGAAAGAUCUGAUACCAGCUUUGGUCAAAGGGGACGAGUGUCAUCCUGAGAGUGCUCCUCUCUGGGACAGGAAACCGCUGGAGCGAAGCCCUGAGAACAUGCCGCGACACUUCAUAUUCAAUCCACAGACCUAUAAAGAGAUGAAAAAUGAGCCUUGUCCAAAGCUCUUACCUCAGCACCCAGUGGCAAAAAUAAAAUGUGAGCUCGGGACCAGGUCUCUUUGAAGCUGAUUUUUUCUAUUUUUUUUUUAAACACUCCAACAGGCCUCUGGUGGUUGCAGGUAUUGAUCGUCAGAAAGUAAUCUGUUCGGGUUUGGGGGCAUGCCAGACCGAAUCCUGGAGUAUGUUCCUUCCUCUCCAAGGACACGUUGAGCUUUUUACUGUCCACACUGGCAUGCUUGUCAGCUCUCUGGCUGCUUUGCCUUUACUGCUUUCCCUGUUUGUGGAAAGCAUACAAUUAAACCUCCCUUAUACAAAUAUUUUACAUUGCUACUCUUGAAUUUUCUGCCAGUGCUGAAGGUUUUUUUAGCCCAUUUUUUAACCCUCAUUUUUCUUCUAUAAUCAUUAUUUGAUUCCCUCUGGCUGCCUGCUACUUAUUUGUAGUAGUACCAUUCAUCCAUUGAGACUUUUCCAUCUGUCACACAGUUUUGCUUUCUCUCCCCAGAAGCUUUCUUCUCCUACUGUGCCAUGCUUGAUUUUUGUGGUUUAGUUGCAUGUUUGUAUGCUCUUUUUAGUAUUUUAAAAAAUGCUUCAGUAUUCAGAAAAAAUACAAGAAGAGAAAAAAACCCCCAACAUAGUAAAGAGCAGCUGAAAUCCAACACUGCACAGAAACAGGAUGAGGAGACUGAGAUUCCUGGUGAAUUAAGGAAUCAACACAUAUAGCCAGGGCAGAACUAGUGACCAGACCUUGGUCUCUGAAUUGUUUUCAUUGCCUUCAAAAUCUUUCCAGUUUUGUGCUAGAUAAAUAGGUGAUGUCAGGAAAUGUUGCAUUCCUUCUGCUGUACUGACUCCCUUUGGUGUAUUGAUUAUAAAGACUAUCUGAGGAAAACCAAACCUACUGAGAUACAAUCCUGUGAUUACUUUAAGAAAAAAAUGUUUUAAAGUGUCAAACAGUCCCAUACUGAAACAAGAUCAUGGUCAUAUCUUACAUUUAAAAUUAAAUGAGAAAUUUUUGUUUGCAGAGGUUAGAUAUCAAAGAAAGGCAGCACUUGUUAGUGUUUCCCAGGUGAAAUGCAGGAAGGGCUAAAGCCAGCAGCAUAACCCCUCAGAAUUACUGUUUUUUCUCUGUGUAUGUUCAACCCCUAUUAAAACAAAUCUUCAUUUUUGAUGUGAGCAAGAAUAGUAAAUUUAACAGCAGCUCUACAGAUCACUUUUGAUUGAAUGAAAUCUCAAAUCUUUAGUUUUGGAGAGCUCACAAAAUUACCUGCUUCCAAUAAUACAUUUUGAAUAUCUCCUUAUUAAUUUUCACUUCUUUUCCUCUUACGCAUCUCAUCGUAUUGUCUUAUGUUCUUGUUUCAAAAGUCCCUGCAAGUUUGUCAUUAUUACUAGGAUUAGUAAAAACUAUGUGUGGUGUUUUCAAAAAUCUUUUUUUCAGUAUAAAUGCUUUCAUUGUUCAUAAAAUUGCUUCUCUGGCUGUAUAGAAAGUGCUGGUAGUCUCCAAGCAAACGCAAAAGCUGUGAGUGUAUCCUUGUGUGAAUGGCAAUCCUCAGAAAGUUUCCUUUGCUACCAGCUACUUCACAGUUCUGAGAAUGAAGUAGGUGGAAAAAAAAAUCAGAAUCUUUAGUAUGUACUUGUAUCGGCAAAUGUCUGAAAAUGUAGGUAUUUCACAAAAAUCCUAUUUAUUAAGUGUUAUCAUGUGAAAGUAAGGGUCAUUCAGACCCAGCUUUUACUUUACCUGAACCUUAAGGUGCUUUGCAAAGGAAAAGAAAUGGUUCCUUUUCUGGAAUAAGUUAUGAAAAUAAAAUUUAAGAAAAUGGGUGAGAAGGAAAAAGAGGACAGAAUGUGAGAGAGACAAACAGUUCCUGAAGUCCCUUCUGACCAUUGAAAACUUUUCUGUGUUUCUUCUCAAGAAUAAAUUAUUAAAAAUAAUAAGGGUGAAAGUGGUUUUUUUGCAUUUGUGUGUGUAAUCACAAAUUUCGUGGUCCCACUGCAUGAUCAGUGUACACCUGUAUCAUUCAAGUCUGUACUGCCUGCUCUGGAAGACCCUCAGUGGGUGAAAUUUCACUGCUGCACAGGGAAGCUAGUCCAGAGCUUCACAUCAGAAACUUAAGUAUAUUUUUUUUUUUUCCCAGAAUGGAUUAAGCAAAUAUAUAAUUGUCUUCUACACUGUAGUGAUUGUUCAAAUGCCUCCUUCCAUUUUCUUUGGUUUAAGGUUAAACAGGUGCAGUUCCUUUGGGAUUUCCUCACAGGCCUGAUGAUUUACAUUUGACUCCUGCUGAUCCACUUCUUUCCAACAUGAGGGCUCAGAGGAACUUGCAAACCUGCAUAUGACACUUCCUGGGCUGCACAGAUAGAUUAUUUCAUAUGCCUUGCAGAUGUUGGUAGGUUUUUUUAAUGUAGCCUCAUCACAUUCUUUGAGUCUUUUGAGGUUAUUUAAUUUUUGAGGUUAUUUAAUAAUUUUGAGGUUAUUAAAUUUCUAUUCAUUUGUUUGUGUAUAUUGCAAAAUGAAGUAAAUUUGGGUGGCAGUAUGAUGAAAGAAGUAAGGCAGGGACCUUGCAGCUAUGAAACCCUAAACCAACCCAGCUGGUGGAUUGAAUAAACCAAACAAAUGGCCUGCAUGAUCUUCUGAGUUAAUUUUGGAUAGUCCUGUGAGGAGCUGGGGGUUGGAUUCUUCUUGUCCCUUCCAAGUGUUCUGUGGACACAAGGGGAUGCUAACACCAGUGGGAAUCUUUACAUGUGUAGGAACACAUUCUCAUAAACUCAGAGCCAGGAGCUUGAUGUGACAGGCUUGCUAUUGGCCCUGUUCUGAAAGUGUUUUAUUCCCAUAUGUGUAAACCUAAUGAAAUAGAGAGGACAAAGAAGAGAGGGACUGUUGCUUAGCCUAGGGAAUCUGAGAGCACAUGUAGAAGCAAUUUCACUAUGCAGUAGGCUUCUAUAGUCUUGGCAAGAAUAGAAAAAAAUAAUACUGCACCCAAAUAGCUGAACAAUUUUUUUUUUAAUACAACAUUUAACACUACUAAACCCACACCAGUGUUGAAAACUGACCCAAGUGAUGAAAGUAGUCUUCAAGAAGUCUGGACACAAGAAAGACUGUAUGUAUCUUCAAGUGUAUGAUCAAGUAGGCUGUUUUUCAUGUAAGGCAGUUAUUUCUAAGUUACUAUUUUUCAGUAGGAUUGUGUACAAUCUUUUGUGUACAGAACUAAUCUGAAAAUCUAGUUCUGUCUUUGUGGGAAAUACUUUUUUCUUUUUCUUUUACAAUGAACUGGAGGGGCUUUACCCAUUAACUGAGGAUUUUCUUUUAAAAGCUACUGCUUUUUUCCCCUUCCUUCCUGCUUCAUGCCAUCACUUUAAGAUUUCAGAGUCAUAGACCAGAGUGCUUGUGUUAAAUGAAUAUAUUUGACAGGAGUUAAGUCUUUUGGGCAUUGCAAUAGGUUUUCCUCAUCUUGGCAUGUGAAGACUGAGAGUGUUCUUUGACACCAGCAGCAGAGGAUGUGAGCACAGCAACUUUCAGGGCAUCAGAAGUGUCAGCAUAAGGAAAAAUCAGCAAAAGUAGACAGUGUUGAGGUAAUUUUCCUGCACUGUACCAUGAAUUUAGCCAACUGGUGCUCCUGUGAAUUCUGGGCUGACAGAGUUUCCUUCUUUGUUGCUAAAUAUCACAUAAAGUGUUCUGUCAGCAUCAAGACUUGUGCACUCCCCUUAUGUAGUAAAAUAAAAAUAUAAUCCUUAUGCCCAUGUUUGAAAUUUGAGCAUAAGUUAAAGAAAAAAAAAAAAGAAUAAACCUUUCCAACAGGCCAAAACUGCAUUUUGGAGGUUCAUUUUUCAGAACAUCAUGUAGUCAAUGCUGUCGAGAAGAGCUGAAGGCAAAAGAUAUGUAGGGCACAAGUACUAAAAAUUGAAAAUCUUACUCCCAUUAAAAUGCAUGGGAUUUCUGCCAGUUGCCAUAGACAUCAGUGGCAGCAACAUCCUGCUAUUUUUUUUCUGUUUUUACUUUCUGCUUUCCUCAUAUUUUUAUUUAUUUUGUAAUCCUGAGAAAACGAUAUAAAACACACAUUGCUGGAAUGGUUUCCAGGGUGUAUAUCAGAGAUUUACUAAUAUUAUUAGGAUUAAAACUAUUUAGUUAUGUUCUAAAUUUCAUAGUGAUGAUUAGAACCUAUGGUCAGGAGGAAUUAUAGGAGGAGUUACAGGUUAGAGACAUCUGAUCUCAUGAGUACUGAUAAAUAUGGUUAUGGGUUUUGCUGCACCCAGCUGGGAUUUAGCUAAGGUGCUUAAGGGUAAAAGUGAAAGGCUGGGUUCUCUUUCUGUGUGGCACAAACAUCAGAUGAGAAAGUGAAAGCUCUGAAUCACCAGAGAGCUUUCAAUUGUAGCAUGAUUUUAAAAAGGAAGAUUUCUGCACCUGAAGAGUUUUGCAUAUAUGCAUUACUGACAAAGUAUGACUGCACAUUUGUUUGCACAGUAUAAUUUCUUGUUUUUUCUUGUUCUAUUUUAAAUUUCUAACCUCUUUAGUAGUAGUAUUUUGCAUGUAAUCUGGAUCUAAUAUCAUUGCUUUAAUAUGUGCCAUAACCUUGAAAUGAAGUAAUCCACUGUAAAAAAGGGCUGCAAAAGUUGGUCUUUGAAGGAAUUUCCUCUCUUUUCAAUCUCCCAUAAAUGUCUCCAAGUCAGAAUUACUGCUUCUUCUUUUCCUGCUUCAGCAGCUGAGAUUCUUAGAGAGGUUGUCCUUCAUCCUCCAUCCCAGCCACUACCUGUGGGAUGGAUUGAUCCCCAGAAGUUUCCUCUCUGUCAGGGCUUGUCACUGCCACUUGCCAAGAGCAAAAUGUGUGUUCUGGGCUUAGGAAUCCAGAUAUUGGCAAUAAGCUGGCUGUCUUCCUUGGGUACUUCUGAGUGGCUAUUUCUAUAAAUAUAUCUCCAUUUCUUUAGGACUUCACUGAGGAAAAGUAUUGACUGAAAAGUAUCAAGAAACACAAAGACCUUGACUGUACUCAAAGCAGUAAAUGUUCAGAGUUGGGAAUAACUUUAUCCAGUAUGGAAAGAAGCCUCUUAGUGUAUUUUUCUCAGGUGUCUGACAAUUGCCUAGAUAUCAAUCUUUGACACAUGUAUUUAUCAAAAUGAAGAAUGUCUUCCUAUAACAAAAGAGGGAUCCUGAGUUUCCCCUUUCACUCCUCUUUUUGUCAGUGCUGUUCUGCAACUCUCAUACAAAUGGAUUCAUUUAAACUCAAAGUAUUAAAUAGGUUCUUUCCCUUUAGGUGUAAAUAUUUUUAUGUUUAAAAAAGGUUUUAAAAAUAUCUUCUUGUCCUUUUGACUUCUAAUAAAAAUGUCAUGAUUUUUUCUCAGCAUUUUUAGUUAAAAACACGAAGUCAAAUAGAUUUUCUGUGAAUUAAGAAAAAACAAGAAACCUAGAUAAUGUAUUCCUGAAAAUCUAAUUUCCUAAAAGAACAAUAUUUUUCUAUACCUCAUAAAUAUUAUACAGGAUCAACCCUUGAAAUAAAUAAAAUGUAAUUACUAUUGAUGCUUUAUAUGAUAUUCAGCAUCUUUAAAUUAUAAUCCAGGAUUAAAUCUUAGUAUAAACUGAAGUAGUCUGAGUAAUUUCACCUUAAUUAGUGUGCCUUGUUUGUGUAAAAAACUAUGCUGAUUUUUUUAAACAAAGUUAAAUACAUGGAGUAAAACAAGCUGGAAGCAAACAAGUUUAAGGAUAAUUAACAGAGCCCUUCACACAGCCUCUCAAUUUUUUUUUUUUUGUAUGGAAAGGUCAGCAGAGAUGACUGCAGAGAUCAGUUUGGAAGGGUAGGUUACUGUAGAAUGUGUGGAAAACCACAAACCAUAUUGCAGUCUUUGUCAUAGCAAAUGUUGGUACCACUUCUAGCAAAAUAAAAGGAUACCUUAAGCUUCUGUGCUUGCAGUGUAAUCAGUUUUGAGGCAGCAUUUUCAGUUUAGGGCAAGAAAUUACUCAACCAUGUCCCCCUCCAACCUCCACCCCCAUCCCCCUCCCCCCCCCUUUUAUUUUUUUUUGUCACUGAUAAAACUGUAACUAGGUUUUCUGAGAAAGUACAUCAUCCAGUGCUUCCCCACGUCUUUCCUUGAACUACUUCUUUUGUCUGUCUCCAUUACACCCGUGUGCAGUGACACAAUGUUUCUGCACAGUGGGAGCUUGCAAUCUCUGAAGAGGCUUUCCAGCAUUGCUUUUUAGACUGAAAUCAUUACAAUCUUCAAUAGGUACUUGGAUUUGAAAAACUAGCACAUUAUUAUUCUCUGGACUGUCUGGAUGUAAAAAGAGGCUAUUUUCUUGCUUCCUUUUAUUUAUUUAUGUCCCUGGGUACACAUUGCCCUUACACCUAACUUUAGUUUGUUUGGAUCUCAAUCGGAGCUGCAAUUCAGAUGUCUUGUGCUGUUUGUGUUUUUCUUUCAUGUAAGGUUUUACAUUAUAAAUGAGAACUCUGUCAGAGAGAUUUAUAUUUUGGUUCUACUUAAUGCUUUCGAGUUGCACAUCCUUUUUUGUAUGUGUAAUUAUCAUAGUUAUUAUUAUCACUAACACGGUGCAGCAUAUUGUACGGUAUGUUACAAUAAAUGUUAUGAUGUGUAGCGUAGCAGAUGUUUGUUAAUACGUCUAUGAUUUUUAAAUGCCACCAAGUUGCAUAGCUUCAGAGGACCUUCAAGUUAUCUCAUCAGAUAUCCUCUAAACCACAGCUGCAUCUGUCGUACCAGUAAAACAUUACCCUGAGCCCAGGGACUUUGUUUAGGUUAAUUUGUCAUGGGACACAACAGUUGUUUCCUCUAGCAAGAGGAGGAGAGAUCAGGAUUCUAGCAGAACCUGAGGACUGAGCUGUGAGUGGAAAUGGAUUGCCCAGGUGAUUCUG